CGAUCAGUAGCCGACCUGAGAGGGUGAUCGGCCACAUUGGAACUGAGACACGGUCCAAACUCCUACGGGAGGCAGCAGUGGGGAAUAUUGCACAAUGGGCGAAAGCCUGAUGCAGCAACGCCGCGUGCGUGAUGAAGGCCUUCGGGUCGUAAAACUCUGUCCUCAAGGAAGAUAAUGACGGUACUUGAGGAGGAAGCCCCGGCUAACUACGUGCCAGCAGCCGCGGUAA
rnacentral:rRNA from 1 species